rnacentral:rRNA from 1 species
UAGUAACACCUGGAAACAGAUGCUAAUACCGGAUAACAACAGAUGAUGCCUAUCAACUGUUUAAAAGAUGGUUCUGCUAUCACUCUUGGAUGGACCUGCGGUGCAUUAGCUAGUUGGUAGGGUAACGGCCUACCAAGGCGAUGAUGCAUAGCCGAGUUGAGAGACUGAUCGGCCACAUUGGGACUGAGACACGGCCCAAACUCCUACGGGAGGCAGCAGUC